rnacentral:rRNA from 1 species
UUUUAAGAGACAGCAGUCGCCACGGUAAAACGAGGGGGGCAAGCGUUGUUCGGAAUUAUUGGGCGUAAAGGGUGCGUAGGCGGUUUGAUAAGUCUUGUGUGAAAUCUCUGGGCUCAACCCAGAGUCUGCACAGGAAACUGUCGGGCUUGAGUAUUGGAGAGGUGAGUGGAAUUUCCGGUGUAGCGGUGAAAUGCGUAGAUAUCAGAAGGAACACCUGUGGCGAAAGCGGCUCACUGGACAAUUACUGACGCUGAUGCACGAAAGCUAGGGGAGCAAACAGGAUUAGAUACCCCGGUAGUCCCUGUCUCUUAUAC